UGAUCAGCAUGCCGCGUGCAGUGAGAAGGCCUUCGGGUUGUAAACUGCUUUUGUCAGGGAAGAAAUCCUUUGGGCUAAUACCUCGGAGGGAUGACGGUACCUGAAGAAUAAGCACCGGCUAACUACGUGCCAGCAGCCGCGGUAAUACGUAGGGUGCGAGCGUUAAUCGGAAUUACUGGGCGUAAAGCGUGCGCAGGCGGCUUUGCAAGACAGAGGUGAAAUCCCCGGGCUCAACCUGGGAACUGCCUUUGUGACUGCUAGGCUAGAGUACGGCAGAGGGGGAUGGAAUUCCGCGUGUAGCAGUGAAAUGCGUAGAUGUGCGGAGGAACACCGAUGGCGAAGGCAAUCCCCUGGGCCUGUACUGACGCUCAUGCACGAAAGCGUGGGGAGCAAACAGGAUUAGAUACCCUGGUAGUCCACGCCCUAAACGAUGUCAACUGGUUGUUGGACGGCUUGCUGUUCAGUAACGAAGCUAACGCGUGAAGUUGACCGCCUGGGGAGUACGGCCGCAGGGUUGAAACUCAAAG
rnacentral:rRNA from 1 species